GGAUGUGCCGGUGGAAUUGGCUGCGACUCCCAUUAUACCACCAUUGAUCGCUAGCGUUGGUUAGAUCGGCUGAUCUGGUUGGUAAGCAGGCGACGUCCCCCGUUCCCCGCACGGAUCCGCGUCCGGUCUCGCCGAUGCCCCGCGCUCGGAGGGGCCGAGAGGCUUAUCGCACCGCACCACCGCACGCACCACGCGACACGGCGCACGGGUUUAAAUAACGGAGCUGCGAGUACCCCCCGCCUAGACCAAACAAGGGAGACGAGACGGCGAUGGCCAAGGAGAGAGGGGCAAGAAGCGCUUCAUACAUACACAUUGCACAUCCAACGCGGCGCUGCACGUGGCAGUUUGCCUUGUU
rnacentral:snRNA from 1 species